UACGUAUGGUGCAAGCGUUAUCCGGAUUUACUGGGCGUAAAGGGAGCGCAGGCGGCGCGCCAAGUCUGAUGUGAAACCCCGGGGCUCAACCCCGGGCUUGCAUUGGAAACUGGCGGGCUGGAGUGCCGGAGAGGUAAGCGGAAUUCCUAGUGUAGCGGUGAAAUGCGUAGAUAUUAGGAGGAACACCAGUGGCGAAGGCGGCUUACUGGACGGCAACUGACGCUGAGGCUCGAAAGCGUGGGGAGCAAACAGG
rnacentral:rRNA from 1 species